rnacentral:tRNA from 1 species
GGAGGCGUGGCUGAGUGGUUGAAGGCACCUGUCUUGAAAACAGGAGAUGGUGAAAGCUGUCCGUGAGUUCGAAUCUCACCGCCUCCG